UAGGGAAUCUUCCACAAUGGACGAAAGUCUGAUGGAGCAACGCCGCGUGAGUGAAGAAGGGUUUCGGCUCGUAAAACUCUGUUGUUAAAGAAGAACAUAUCUGAGAGUAACUGUUCAGGCAUUGACGGUAUUUAACCAGAAAGCCACGGCUAACUACGUGUCAG
rnacentral:rRNA from 1 species